rnacentral:rRNA from 1 species
AUUGAACGCUGGCGGCAUGCUUUACACAUGCAAGUCGAACGGCAGCGCGGGCUUCGGCCUGGCGGCGAGUGGCGAACGGGUGAGUAAUACAUCGGAACGUGCCCAGUAGUGGGGGAUAGCUCGGCGAAAGCCGGAUUAAUACCGCAUACGACCUGAGGGUGAAAGCGGGGGAUCUUCGGACCUCGCGCUAUUGGAGCGGCCGAUGGCAGAUUAGCUAGUUGGUGGGGUAAAGGCCUACCAAGGCGACGAUCUGUAGCUGGUCUGAGAGGACGACCAGCCACACUGGGACUGAGACACGGCCCAGACUCCUACGGGAGGCAGCAGUGGGGAAUUUUGGACAAUGGGCGAAAGCCUGAUCCAGCAAUGCCGCGUGUGUGAUGAAGGCCUUCGGGUUGUAAAGCACUUUUGGCGGGAACGAAAAGGACUGUGCCAAUACCACGGUUCGAUGACG